rnacentral:rRNA from 1 species
GAUGAACGCUGGCGGCGUGCCUAAUACAUGCAAGUCGAGCGAACGGACGAGAAGCUUGCUUCUCUGAUGUUAGCGGCGGACGGGUGAGUAACACGUGGAUAACCUACCUAUAAGACUGGGAUAACUUCGGGAAACCGUAGCUAAUACCGGAUAAUAUUUUGAACCGCAUGGUUCAAAAGUGAAAGACGGUCUUGCUGUCACUUAUAGAUGGAUCCGCGCUGCAUUAGCUAGUUGGUAAGGUAACGGCUUACCAAGGCAACGAUGCAUAGCCGACCUGAGAGGGUGAUCGGCCAAACUGGAACUGAGACACGGUCCAGACUCCUACGGGAGGCAGCAGUAGGGAAUCUUCCGCAAUGGGCGAAAGCCUGACGGAGCAACGCCGCGUGAGUGAUGAAGGUCUUCGGAUCGUAAAACUCUGCUAUUAGGGAAGAACAUAUGUGUAAGUAACUGUGCACAUCUUGACGGUACCUAAUCAGAAAGCCACGGCUAACUACGUG